rnacentral:rRNA from 1 species
UGGGGAAUAUUGGACAAUGGGCGAAAGCCUGAUCCAGCAAUGCCGCGUGAGUGAUGAAGGCCUUAGGGUUGUAAAGCUCUUUUACCAGGGAUGAUAAUGACAGUACCUGGAGAAUAAGCUCCGGCUAACUCCGUGCCAGCAGCCGCGGUAAUACGGAGGGAGCUAGCGUUGUUCGGAAUUACUGGGCGUAAAGCGCACGUAGGCGGCUACUCAAGUCAGAGGUGAAAGCCCGGGGCUCAACCCCGGAACUGCCUUUGAAACUAGGUAGCUAGAAUCUUGGAGAGGUCAGUGGAAUUCCGAGUGUAGAGGUGAAAUUCGUAGAUAUUCGGAAGAACACCAGUGGCGAAGGCGACUGACUGGACAAGUAUUGACGCUGAGGUGCGAAAGCGUGGGGAGCAAACA